AACGAACGCUGGCGGCGUGCCUAACACAUGCAAGUCGAACGAGAAAGGGGCCUCGGCUCCGAGUAAAGUGGCGCACGGGUGAGUAACACGUAGGUAACCUGCCUCUAAGAUUGGGAUAACUCGUCGAAAGAUGAGCUAAUACCGAAUAAGACCACAGUUUCUGCGGGGACAGGGGUCAAAGGUAGCCUCUGCUUGCAAGCUAUCACUUAGAGAUGGGCCUGCGCACCAGUAGCUAGUUGGUAGGGUAACGGCCUACCAAGGCAAAGAUGGUUAGCCGGUCUGAGAGGAUGAUCAGCCACACUGGAACUGAGACACGGUCCAGACUCCGACGGGAGGCAGCAGUGGGGAAUAUUGCGCAAUGGGCGAAAGCCUGACGCAGCAACGCCGCGUGAGUGAUGAAGGCCUUCGGGUCGUAAAGCUCUGUCGGGAGGAACGAAUGCUCCUGAGGUAAACAGCCUCGGGAGGUGACGGUACCUUCAAAGGAAGCACCGGCUAACUCUGUGCCAGCCGCCGCCGUAACAC
rnacentral:rRNA from 1 species